GAUGAACGCUGGCGGCGUGCCUAAUACAUGCAAGUCGAGCGAACAGACGAGGAGCUUGCUCCUUUGACGUUAGCGGCGGACGGGUGAGUAACACGUGGGUAACCUACCUAUAAGACUGGGAUAACUUCGGGAAACCGGAGCUAAUACCGGAUAAUAUUUCGAACCGCAUGGUUCGAUAGUGAAAGAUGGCUCUGCUAUCACUUAUAGAUGGACCUGCGCCGUAUUAGCUAGUUGGUAAGGUAACGGCUUACCAAGGCAACGAUACGUAGCCGACCUGAGAGGGUGAUCGGCCACACUGGAACUGAGACACGGUCCAGACUCCUACGGGAGGCAGCAGUAGGGAAUCUUCCGCAAUGGGCGAAAGCCUGACGGAGCAACGCCGCGUGAGUGAUGAAGGUCUUCGGAUCGUAAAACUCUGUUAUUAGGGAAGAACAAACGUGUAAGUAACUGUGCACGUCUCGACGGUACCUAAUCAGAAAGCCACGGCUAACUACGUG
rnacentral:rRNA from 1 species